rnacentral:ncRNA from 2 species
CUGCUAACGCGGGGGUCCUGCGUAGCGCGGAGCUGGAGGUCCGCGUUGCGUGGGUGAGAAAUACCCUUUGAACCUGAUCUGGAUAAUGCCAGCGCAGGGAAGCGUACGGUUUUCGCGC